rnacentral:lncRNA from 1 species
GGAUCGUCCCCGCGUCCGGGCAGGUCUUCCCCCUGCCGGCUGAGCCGCCACGGACACUGCACCUUUGUGGCGCCGCGAGAACCUCCCAAACUUCCGUGGAACUGUCCGUCUGCCUCGCUGCCUCCUCAGCGGGGAGAUGGCAGCACUGCGCCAGACCACGGUCAGAAACUGCAAAAGAAUCCUGGAAAGAAAUUCACAAACUUGUGGAGGAACUGAUGAAGAGGUUCACAAACCCAAACCUGAAGAUCUCCAUAGUCACCUACUCUUCACAGAGCUACACCCAAAGGAAACUCACCACAGACAGAAAGAAAAUACAAGCUACUCUUAACGAACUGAAGGGAAUAAAACCUACGGGAGAAAACUUCAUGGAAACAGGAUUUAUAGAGGUAAAUGAGCAGCUUCGAAAAGCAUUCUAUGCAGACCCAGGUACUAACAGCCUGAUUAUUGCUGUGAACACUGUACCACCGGAACCAUCAUCACUACCGAUGAUUAAGUCCGAAGUGAGUCCAACCGAU